rnacentral:rRNA from 1 species
GACGAACGCUGGCGGCGUGGAUUAGGCAUGCAAGUCGAACGGUAUCAUCCUUUCGGGGGUGAGAGAGUGGCGAACUGGUGAGUAACACGUAGGUUAUCUACCCUCAAGACGGGGACAACCCAGGGAAACUUGGGCUAAUACCGGAUGUGAGCAACUUUUAGUUGUUUGAAAGGUGGCGUAAGCUGUCGCUUGGGGAUGAGCCUGCGUCCUAUUAGUUAGUUGGUGGGGUAACGGCUCACCUAGGCAAUGAUAGGUAGGCGGCCUUAACGGGUGGUCGCCCACACUGGGAUUGAGAUACGGCCCAGACUCCUACGGGAGGCAGCAGUCGAGAAUAGUCUACAAUGGUCGGAAGACUGAUAGUGCGACGCCGCGUGAACGAUGAAUCCCUUCGGGGUGUAAAGUCUUUUAUAUGUGAGCAGUGCUUCUUAUAUUAACAGUAUGGGGAGAGAGAUAUUAGCAUAUGAAUAAGCAACGGCUAACUCCGUGCCAGCAGCCGCGGUAAACUCGU